CCUACGGGUGGCAGCAGUGAGGAAUAUUGGUCAAUGGGCGUAACCCUGAACCAGCCAUGUCGCGUGAGUGAUGAAGGUUCUAUGGAUGGUAAGCCUCUUUUAUAAGGGGAUAGGGUUUGGGACGUGUCCUAUUGUUGAUGUACCUUAUGAAUAAGGAUCGGCUAACUCCGUGCCAGCAGCCGAGGUAAUACGGUGGGUCCGAGCGUUAUCCGGAUUGACUGGGUGUAACGGGUGCGUAGGCGGCGUUGUAAGUCAGCGGUGAAAGCCUGGGGCUUAACCAGAGAAUUGCAGUUGAUACUGGGGGGCUUGAGUACGUUAGGGGCAGGCGGAAUGCGAGGUGUAGCGGUGAAAUGCUUAGAUAUGACGAAGAAUCCCGAAUGCGAAGGCAGCC
rnacentral:rRNA from 1 species